rnacentral:ncRNA from 2 species
CAAAAUCGCAGUGACUGACGACAAUGCGGAAUGAACCGCUGGGGAGCUGCGUCUAUGUAUAGCCGGUCGUCUGGGCAGAGAUG